rnacentral:rRNA from 1 species
CCUACGGGGGCAGCAGUGAGGAAUAUUGGUCAAUGGGCGGGAGCCUGAACCAGCCAAGUCGCGUGAGGGAAGACGGUCCUAUGGAUUGUAAACCUCUUUAGGCGGGGAGCAAUGCCGGGCACGUGUGCCCGGAGGGAGAGUACCCGCAGAAUAAGCAUCGGCUAACUCCGUGCCAGCAGCCGCGGUAAUACGGAGGAUGCGAGCGUUAUCCGGAUUUAUUGGGUUUAAAGGGUGCGUAGGCGGAUUUUUAAGUCAGCGGUAAAAGGUUCGGGCUCAACCCGGGCCGGCCGUUGAAACCGGGGAUCUUGAGUGGGCGAGAAGUAUGCGGAAUGCGUGGUGUAGCGGGGAAAUGCAUAGAUAUCACGCAGAACUCCGAUUGCGAAGGCAGCAUACCGGCGCCCGACUGACGCUGAGGCACGAAAGCGUGGGGAUCGAACAGGAUUAGAUACCCCUGUAGUC